rnacentral:tRNA from 1 species
UAGCUCAGUUGGCUAGAGCAUUCGGUUCAUACCCGAAGUGUCACCGGUUCAAAUCCAGU